rnacentral:rRNA from 1 species
AGAAUGAACGCUGGCGGCGCGCCUAAUACAUGCAAGUCGAGCGAGAAGACGUAGCAAUACGUUUGUAAAGCGGCGAACGGGUGAGGAAUACAUCGGGUAACCUACCCUCGAGUGGGGAAUAACUAGCCGAAAGGUUAGCUAAUACCGCGUACGCUCCUUGGACUUCGGUUCAGGGAGGAAAGCGAUACCGUGGGUAUCGCGCUCUUGGUUGGGCUCAUGUCCUAUCAGCUUGUUGGUGAGGUAACGGCUCACCAAGGCUUCGGGACGGUAGCUGGUCUGAGAGGACGAUCAGCCACACUGGCACUGCGACACGGGCCAGACUCCGUACGGGAGGCAGCAGUAAGGAAUAUUGCGACAAGUGGGACGAAAGCCGUGAACCGCAGCCGACCGGCCGGCGGUGGGGGAUGGAAGGUUCGUUACGGAUUUACGGUAAACCCCGUUUCGGGAACGGUAAGAGUAGGAACGAGCGAAGUCGUUCCGGACGGUACCUACCGAGAAGCAGCCACGGUCUAACGUUCGUAGCCCGAGACCGACGACCCGGACGGUAACGUC